rnacentral:lncRNA from 1 species
AGUGAACAUUUUUAUGUUUACAUUGUUGUUUAGAGAUGUGGCAUCUUGUGGCUUUUUAGUUGUACCAUAAUGAAUCAGCCAUUUCGGAUGCCUUGAUAUUUAGUAAUGGGUUGCAUGUCGACUCAGAGAUAACCUACAAGUGCAUAGACAGGUCCUUCUAUGCAUCAGCUUCUGGUGGAAGUUGGCUGUGCCACUGCUCUUAGCAAAGCCUUCACUGGGCAGUGUGGGUUUAGUCCCUCUAUUUUGUUGCAGGUGGACUGUUGUUUAUCAUAGCCCCCACUAAUGCUAACAUUCAGAUUAUUUCUAAUCUUUUAGAAUUUUAAACAGUUCUAUAAUUAAUUGUGUCUCAUGAUUUUUUAUUUUUUGACUGUAUCUUUAAUGUCCUUGUUAACUUUUUGGUUAGCAUGCAUGGAAAUAGGUCUUUUUGGACAUUUCCAUGGGCUGUACCAUUCUGCCUUGUUUUUAUUCACUCACCCCAUUUUCCUCCUCCUGUGGUCUCUAUCUUCCCUCUGCUUAAGUCUAGAAAGAGAAAACAUGGAAUAUCCAGGUAGCUUAUUUCACUGAGCAUAGUCAUCUUCAUUUCCAUUUGGUUAGAUUUUUUAAAUCUAAGAGGAAAUUGUGGGGAGCAGGGGAAGUAUGGUUAGGACUUUUUCUUCUAAUAGGCUGCUCUCUACCAGGGGCACACUUUGUGUCCAAUCUUCUAAGAAUCCGUGUGUUGGCAUGCCCAGGACUUUGUCCUUUGACUCGCUAUCUCCAGGGGCCAUUAAAUGUCUCCCACAUGGCCUUGGAUAUGCAUGCCAGUUGGACCUUCAUACUCUAAAGCCUUGCUUGUGUCUACAGCAUCGGGCACCCCAAAUGUGAGAGCCCCCGCUUCCCUCCUGCACUCUUUCCUGAGGCUUCCCCGUUUUAGUAGAUAGCUGUUUCAUAUACUCCUUCAUUCAGACAAAUUUUGGGGUCAGUCUCAACCUCUCUUUUAUGCCCUGUGUGUGAUUCGCUGGGAAAUCCCUUUGACAUUUAUUUGACCAUUGCUCACCACCACCACCAAGCUCGCAAGUCCAAAAUUGCACUCUUGUCUGUACUGCUGCAGAAGCUCCAGAUACGUCUCCUCUUUCUGCUCUUGUUGCCUACUUCCUCUCUACCCAACAGCACGCACCACCACGUUUCCCUGGUUUCAGUGAUACUGUUAGAAUAAAGUCCACGUGGCUGCAGUCUCCUGUGU